CCCGCCGCUCACACGGGCUGCGGCCGAGUUCAAUUCAGAACUGCGGCGAGUCCGGCUUCCCCGGGAGCCGGGGCCGCCCGGGCGCCGGGGGCCGAGUUCCGAGGGACUUUGCAAAAGAGGCGCUCGCCUCCCUCCCUGCGCGCCUCCUCCGGGAGCACGGGGAUGCUUGCACCUGCGCCGCCGGGGACCGCCUGGCCAGAGCCGCUGCUCCGCCCCCGGGGACGGGGGGACCUGCGCCCAGGAGCGCUUGGAAAUUGGAUCUUGGCAAAAUUAGCAACGAAUCCAUAAAGGAGACUAAAAGCCAUUUGAUCUCCCUCUUCAAUGACAGUCCCACAAAAGUCGAAGAAAUACAUUAUGUCUCCAAUGAAGAGAGCAGUUGUACCCUAAAAUUAGGACAUGAUUAAGAUCCUAUACAGUCAGCAGAGUUCUGAGUUUAGAGGUUGCUUCAGUGAACAUUCAACGCUGUCG
rnacentral:lncRNA from 1 species